UCUCCCACCCAGGUGGCCCUGAGCAAUGGCCCGGAGGUGAGCCCAGAGCUGGCCCUGAGGUGGCCCUGAGAAGAAGUGGAAGGCAGAGGUGGUGCUGAGGCAGGAGAGCCCCGUGCUGGGGAAGAGGCUGAGCUGGGAGUGCCCAGCAGCGAGAAGGUGCUGUGUGCAUGCCCUGUGUGCCAGGAUUUGUCCUUCCCAAAGCUUGGGUGGAUGGAGGAGGAGGCUGCGAGGAAGAGGAAGAUGCCGCGGGCCCCCCAGGCAGGCCCCGAGCUGAGGACGGAGAGCACGGAGGACAAAUCCCCCCGGCAGAGCCUGGUGGGAGAGGCCGUUUUGAAGGGCUCCCCGGUGCAGGAAGGCAGCGGGGAGGAAAAGGCAUGGAGAUGCCCCCGGAGGAGGGGCUGCAAAGCCAGCCCAGGGAGCUCUGAGGAGGAAAGACCCGUCCUGUGCCAGGAAGGCGGCCGGAGCUUGAGCCGGAGCUCGGAGCUGGUGGUCCCUGAGCAGCCUCCCAGCAGGGAGAAGCCCUUUAAGUGCUUGGAAUGUGGGAAGAGCUUCAGGGAGAGCUCCAACCUCCUCACCCACAUGCACAUCCACACUGGGGCACGGCCCUACACGUGUAGGGAAUGUGGAAAGAGCUUCACUCAGAACUCCACCCUGAUCCAACACAAGCACAUCCACACUGGGGAACGGCCCUACACGUGUGGGGAAUGUGGGAAGAGCUUCAGGGAUAGCUCUGCCCUGAUCAAACACCAGCGCAUCCACACUGGAGAACGACCCUACAAGUGCUUGGAAUGUGGGAAGAGCUUCAGGGACAGCUCCCACCUGAUCCGACACCAGCUCAUCCACACCGGUGAACGACCCUACAAGUGCUUGGAAUGUGGGAAGAGGUUUCAGCCCAGCUCAACUCUCCUCAGGCAUGAGCGGACACACACAGAUGAGAGGCCCUUCCGCUGCACCGACUGUGGGAAGGGCUUCAACCGGAACUCCACCCUCAUCACCCACCGGCGCAUCCACACCGGGGAGAGGCCCUACAAGUGUGGGGAGUGUGGGAAGAGCUUCAGCGACAGCUCUGUCUUUAGCAGACACCAACGGACCCACCGGUAAGGGAAGCCCCUCUGAGUGCCCCGACUGCGGGAAGAGCUUUGGCCGCUGCUCCGGCUCCAUCACCCAUCGGAGAACCCGCCUUGGGAACAGCCUUUUGGGGACCCACAUUCCCGGUGACCCUCCUUGGGAACAGCCUUUUGGGGACCCACAUUCCCUGGUGACCCUCCUUGGAACAGCCUUUUUGGGGACCCACAUUCCCUGGUGACCGUCCUUGGGAUCAGCCUUUUUGGGGACCCACAUUCCCGGUGACCCACCUUGGGAACAGCCUUUUGGGGACCCACAUUCCCGGUGACCCUCCUUGGAACAGCCUUUUUGGGGACCCACAUUCCCUGGUGACCCUCCUUGGGAUCAGCCUUUUUGGGGACCCACAUUCCCGGUGACCCUCCUUGGGAUCAGCCUUUUGGGGACCGACAUUCUUGGUGACCCUCCUUGGGAUCAGCCUUUUGGGGACCCACAUUCCCUGGUGACCCUCCUUGGGAACAGCCUUUUGGGGACCCACAUUCCCGGUGACCCCUGUUUGGGGUUUAUUGCCGUGCCGCGAAUGGUUCUGUUUGAGAUGGUUUUGUUUUUUUCUUCCUUCCGAUCGUUCGUAAA